ACCAGACUCCUACGGGAGGCAGCAGUCGGGAAUAUUGCACAAUGGAGGAAACUCUGAUGCAGUGACACCGCGUAUAGGAAGAAGGUUUUCGGAUUGUAAACUAUUUUAGACAGGGAAGAAAAAAGACAGUACCUGUAGAAUAAGCUCCGGCUAACUACGUGCCAGCAGCCGCGGUAAUACGUAGGGGGCAAGCGUUAUCCGGAUUUACUGGGUGUAAAAGGAGCGUAGACGGCUGCGCAAGUCAGAAGUGAAAGCCCGGGGCUCAACCGCGGGACUGCUUUUGAAACUGUGUAGCUAGAGUGCAGGAGAGGUAAGUGGAAUUCCUAGUGUAGCGGUGAAAUGCGUAGAUAUUAGGAGGAACACCGGUGGCGAAGGCGACUUUCUGGACUGUACCUGACGCUGAGGCGCGAAAGCGUGGGUAGCGAACGGGAUUAGAUACCCUGGUA
rnacentral:rRNA from 1 species